rnacentral:sRNA from 1 species
CUCUCUUCUUUCUCGAGAAAUCGGCGAAUCUGAGAACUAAGCAUCAACAACAAGAACAAUGAGAGCGAAGGUAACAUCUUCUUCUUCUUCUUCUUCUUCUUCUUCGAUU